ensembl:lncRNA
CUGGAGAACAUCAGAAGGUCCUGGAGGACAUCAGGAGGUUCUGGAGGACACCAGGAGGUCCUGGAGGACAUCAGGAGGUUCUGGAGAACAUCAGGAGGUCCUGGAGGACGUGGGGAGGUUCUGGAGGACACCAGGAAGUUCUGGAGAACAUCAGGAGCUCCUGGAGGACACCAGGAGGUUCUGGAGGACCCCAGGAGGUUCUGGAGGACACCAGGAGGUUCUGAAGAACAUCAGGAGCUCCUGGAGGACACCAGGAGGUUCUGGAGGACCCCAGGAGGUUCUGGAGAACAUCAGGAGGUUCUGGAGGAUCCCAGGAGGUUCUGGAGGAUCCCAGGAGGUUCUGGAGAACAUGGGAGGGUUCUGGGGGACUUGGGAAACUCCUGGAAGAUGUCCUGGAGACCGUGGAAGGUUCUGGAGAACAUCAGGAGGUUCUGGAGAACAUCGAGGAGCCCUGGAAGGUUCUGGAGAACAUCGAGGAGGUUCUGGAGAACACCGAGGAGCUCUGGAAGGUUCUGGAGAGCACCGAGGAGCCCUGGAGGUCCCCGCUGGCCCGGGCCGGUGGCCGCGCUGGCUCAGAGGCCGUCGGGGCGCUGGUAGCGCCAGAAGGCGAUGUCACCGUCGUCCCCGCAGGUGGCCAGCAGCCCCGGCUCCCGCGGGUGCCACGCCACGCCGUUGACGUCCUGCGCGUGCGCCCGCGGCACGUGGGCCACCAGCCCGAAGGUGACCGGGGACACCGGGGACACCGGGGACACCUCCUCGAACACCCGCACCGCGUCGUCACCGCACGCCGUGGCCACCGCGCCCGUCAGGUGACACCUGCAGCGCCACCGGGGACGGUGUCACCCCGGGGACACGGAGGGGACAGGGAGGGGACACCAGGAGGGGACAGGGGUGACCAAGGAGGGGACAGGGGGAAGGGACAGGGGUGACCAGGGAGGGGACACCGGGUGGGGACACCAGGAGGGGACACAGGGUGGGGACAGGACCCCAGGGUGGG